UCACAUGUCUGCAUUGGCUUAUAAAUGUACACUUCUAUAUUAUUCACAUAUUCAUGUCAAUUGCUUAGUUCCAAAUUUGUAAUUAUGUGAUCGUCCAUGAUAAUGUGCUAAAUUAUUCACCACAUAACUUUUACACAUUCUUUACAUAUUACAUACACUAAUCGAGUUUUAUGAUACACUGUCGUCUAUUCACUGUAUUACCUGUGUAUAUGUCCGUAACAUACAUGCGUGCAC
rnacentral:lncRNA from 1 species